UACAGAGGGUGCAAGCGUUGUUCGGAAUUACUGGGCGUAAAGCGCGUGUAGGCGGUCAUGUAAGUCGGAUGUGAAAUCCCUUGGCUUAACCGAGGAACUGCAUCUGAUACUGCAAGACUUGAGUCUCGGAGGGGAUGGCGGAAUUCCCGGUGUAGAGGUGAAAUUCGUAGAUAUCGGGAGGAACACCUGUGGCGAAGGCGGCCAUCUGGAAGACGACUGACGCUGAGACGCGAAAGCGUGGGUAGCAAACAGG
rnacentral:rRNA from 1 species